GUGCUCGUUUCAGCAGCACAUAUACUAAAAUUGGAACAAUUCAGAGAAGAUUAGCAUGGGCCCUGAGCAAGGAUGACACGCAAAUUCGUGAAGCGUUCCACAUUCAG
ensembl:snRNA U6 U6 spliceosomal RNA